rnacentral:rRNA from 1 species
AUGCUUGAAGGUAAUCUUUUGUAUCAAACAGACAUUUUAACUGUGAUCUCCGACUGUUGUCUUGACUCAGUGGUUGUGCUUGCAGAAUUUUGCCAGAACUUUGAAGAGGAGAUUGGUCGACUGGAAAUAAACCUGGAUCCCAUCAACUCCCCCGUGAAAGAUGAAGUCGCCAUGAAUGUGCUCCGGCUUGAAUCUCGCGUUGCUGCUGUCGUCGACUAUCUCGCAAGGCUGAAGGUCGCAACUUCUCGCAUCGACACAACACUCUGGCCAAGAGAGACGCUCCAGAACGACCUCGAGUCUCUGAUGACUCGACUGAACGAGGUCCCAAGUCGAGUGCAGGAGUGGAAGAAGUCUUCUGCCAGAUGUGGCGCGGAUGUUGCUCUGUCUCUGGUCCACGUUCACUGCAAGGAUGCAUGA